AACGAACGCUGGCGGCGCGCCUAAUACAUGCAAGUCGAGCGAGAAGACGUAGCAAUACGUUUGUAAAGCGGCGAACGGGUGAGGAAUACAUGGGUAACCUACCCUCGAGUGGGGAAGUAACUAGCCGAAAGGUUAGCUAAUACCGCGUACGCUCCUUGGACUUCGGUUCAGGGAGGGAAAGACGAUACCGUGGGUAGUCGCGCUCUUGGAUGGGCUCAUGUCCUAUCAGCUUGUUGGUGAGGUAACGGCUCACCAAGGCUUCGACGGGUAGGCUGGUCUGAGAGGACGAUCAGCCACACUGGCACUGCGACACGGGCCAGACUCCUACGGGAGGCAGCAGUAAGGAAUAUUGCGCAAUGGGCGAAAGCCUGACGCAGCGACGCCGCGUGCGGGAAGAAGGCCUCGG
rnacentral:rRNA from 1 species